rnacentral:rRNA from 1 species
AGAGUUUGAUCCUGGCUCAGAAUCAACGCUGGCGGCGCGCCUAACACAUGCAAGUCGAACGAGAACGGCUUCAGCAAUGGGGCCUAGUACAGUGGCGAACGGGUGAGUAACACGUGGGUAAUCUACCUUCAAGUGGGGGAUAACCCGGGGAAACCUGGGCUAAUACCGCAUAAUAUCCGCAAGGAUCAAAGGAGCAAUUCGCUCGAAGAUGAGCCCGCGGCCGAUUAGCUAGUUGGCGGGGUAACGGCCCACCAAGGCUCUGAUCGGUAGCCGGUCUGAGAGGACGCACGGCCACACUGGAACUGAAACACGGUCCAGACUCCUACGGGAGGCAGCAGUGGGGAAUCUUGCACAAUGGGGGAAACCCUGAUGCAGCGACGCCGCGUGGGUGAUGAAGCUCUUCGGAGUGUAAAGCCCUUUCGGCAGGGAAGAGAUAAGACGGUACCUGCAAAAGAAGCCCCGGCUAACUACGUGCCAGCAGCCGCGGUAAUACGUAGGGGGCCAGCGUUGUUCGGAAUUACUGGGCGUAAAGAGUGCGUAGGCGGUGCGGUGUGUUCGGUGUGAAAUCUCCCGGCUCAACCGGGAGGGGCCAUCGAAAACUGCCGCGCUUCGGGUACGGGAGAGGGGAGUGGAAUUCCCGGUGUAGCGGUGAAAUGCGUAGAGAUCGGGAGGAACACCAGCGACGAAGGUGGCUCCCUGGACCGUUACCGACGCUGAGGCACGAAAGCUAGGGGAGCAAACAGGAUUAGAUACCCUAGUAGUCC